rnacentral:misc_RNA from 1 species
UUUCCGUAGGUGAACCUGCGGAAGGAUCAUUGUCUACACCGCGCUCGUCCGCGCCCGCGGUAUCGGGGGCCCGCCCUUCGGGGCCGGCCCUGUCUGCACCCUCUGCCAUUGUCGCACCUCGCGUUUCCUCGGCGGGCCCGCCCGCCAAUGGGGACCCCAAACCAAACCCAUUUGCAGUGCCUGCAGUAAACGUCUCAAAACAAUGGAAAUCAAAACUUUCAACAACGGAUCUCUUGGUUCUG